GCAAAACGCGAAGAACCUUACCCACCUUUGACAUGUACGGAACUUGCCAGAGAUGGCUUGGUGCUCGAAAGAGAACCGUAACACAGGUGCUGCAUGGCUGUCGUCAGCUCGUGUCGUGAGAUGUUGGGUUAAGUCCCGCAACGAGCGCAACCCUUGUCAUUAGUUGCUACAUUCAGUUGGGCACUCUAAUGAGACUGCCGGUGACAAACCGGAGGAAGGUGGGGAUGACGUCAAGUCCUCAUGGCCCUUAUAGGUGGGGCUACACACGUCAUACAAUGGCCGGUACAAAGGGUUGCCAACCCGCGAGGGGGAGCUAAUCCCAUAAAGCCGGUCGUAGUCCGGAUCGCAGUCUGCAACUCGACUGCGUGAAGUCGGAAUCGCUAGUAAUCGCGAAUCAGAAUGUCGCGGUGAAUACGUUCCCGGGUCUUGUACACACCG
rnacentral:rRNA from 1 species